ensembl:lncRNA
CCUUUAAGGUCCCAAGAUUACGAGACGUUCAGGGGGCUAAAGACAACUAGACCAUCAGAGGACCAGGAUUAUGAAACCCUCACGGGAUAAAGACAUUUAGACCUUCUAGGGUCCAAGACUAAUAGACCUACAGGGGUCCAGGACCUUCAAAGGCAUGCGACCAUCAGGAGCCGUAAGUUCUGUUAGUAAAGAUGUUGCUGGGAACAUAACUGGCUAUAAUCUAAACGUACGAGGAGAAAACGGUGCACUGCUCCUUUAAGAGUCACGAAUGACCUUCAACCCUCAGUGACAGGGGGCGGGGCCUAAAGUGUGUGUGUCUGUGGGGGAAGUCUAAUUAUAAACCCCAGUUGCCCCGCAGUUACACACACGCACACACAUUAUUUAUGACAAUAAAAAUAAAAUAAGUAAGCAGUUAUAUUGUUAACAGAGUAAAAGCUCUAAUAUGACUUUAUAAAUACUAAUUAAUUGAUCUAUUACAAACAGGUUACAUUCUGUUUUUCAUAACUCGUAUAAAGAUAAUUAAUGAAGAAAUAAAGGAGAGUAACAGAGACAUGCGGAUUGAUUGAUUCAUAACAAUGGAGCCUCCAUCUCCCACAAUGCACCUGGACAAGCGUCAUUCAUUGGAGGCUGAAGUUAUUAACACGUUAUUUGCGUUACUGAAACUUGAAUAGACUGAUUGGUUUCUCACCUUCAGUGACUCAGGAUCAGACUCUGUCCAUGUCCUCAGGUCCCUCUCGCUGUCUCUUGGUCCCCUGAGGACUCCGGGCUCGGCUGUGUCUCCUCUGGGUUCUGGUCUUUGCUCUGAGGAGAGUUCAGAGUUCUGUGAGAGCUUCAGUCCAUUCUAAAUAAAUCUCCAACAAGCAGCACCUGCUGCACGACAACUGUCACACACACACACACACACACACACACACACACACACACACAGUUUAUUUUAAUUUCAGACCUCAAGGAAGGUGAAACUUUAUUUAAAACCUGUAUUCUGACAAAGCUUUAUUCAGUUAAGUUUUUUGUUUUAUUGAUUUAGAAGAAAAAACAUGAACAGGCACAUAAUAUGUAUAAUACGCAUAAUAUAUAUACACAGGAUAUAUACGCAUACAUAUAUAUAUACAUACUAUAUAUACACAGGAUAUAUACGCAUAUAUAUACAUACUAUAUAUACACAGGAUAUAUACGCAUAUAUAUACUAUAUAUACACAGGAUAUAUACGCAUAUAUAUACAUA